AGGUUUGUUUAGUUCGUUACAAAUUUUAUUAUUUUUUUUUAAAUAAUGAUAAUCCUGUUAUUAGGGUUAUUUGCAAGACAGGCUGUCCAACAUGGUCUUCCAUAGGAGGGGAACAAAAGAGUAAUGUGAAUUUAAUAGGUGAUCGAUGUAGCAAUGGAGUUUUUUUUCAAAUGUUCUUAUUUCUUUCUUAGUGAGGGUCUCAAACUACUUCUUUUUUUAAUGUAACUUGAAAUUUAU